GUUUUGAAUUCCAACGGUCGAGAAGAGAUUGAUCCCCGUCUGCUGAUUUAAAUUGAUGGUCUGACAGAAAUAUUGUUGUGCGGAUUUACACUAAAACACGAAAGAGCCUGAACCGCGACAGUGUCACAAGUUGCCUUACAUCCAUAAGUUUUGUUGUGCUUGUUGCAAACUGUUAAAUUAAGAGUUUUCCGAUCCUAAGCUUAGAAAAAAAGAUGCAAGACUUCAAACUUUCCAGUACUCCGGUGUACUUAUAAUCCGGGUUCCACCCAGUCCCAGGAGAUUAUAUUAAACCUGGAAAAUAUUGGAGAAGAUCAAUUAAGUUUUCAGGAGCACAUUACUGUGAUAAAUGCUGAACUAUGUAAAAGACAACCUGACUACACCAACAUAUCAAAAAUCGAAUGAGAUGCGCUCUUUUUAAAAGGGUUGAUUUAAUGACAAAAUCAACAUGAGAGUUCAUGGACAUGUUCCCAUUUCUUCGGGUUCC